rnacentral:rRNA from 1 species
UACGGGGGGGGCAAGCGUUGUUCGGAAUUACUGGGCGUAAAGGGCGCGUAGGCGGUCUGUUAAGUCGGAUGUGAAAACUCGGGGCUUAACCCCGGGCCUGCAGUGGGUACGGGCAGACUAGAGUGCGGUAGGGGAGACUGGAAUUUCAGGUGUAGCGGUGAAAUGCGUAGAUAUCUGAAGGAACAUCAGUGGCGAAAGCGACUUCCUGGACCAAUACUGACGCUCAUGUGCGAAAGCGUGGGGAGCAAACAGG